rnacentral:lncRNA from 1 species
CGCAGAAGCCUUGAACUCCUCCACCGCAAGGGUCCUGGCCUCCGAGACCAGAAUCAGAGUUUGCUCGGCCAAAUGGGCGACCUCGGCCUCCGCCUUUCUCGCCGAUUCCUCCAAGUUUCGUCUCUCCUCCUCCCGGGCUUGUCUUUCCUCUGCCCGAUCUUGUCUCUCUCUCUCCAGGGCCUCCCGGAGGGCGGCCACCUCGGCCGUCUUCGCUUGAAGACG